UUCAACUUUACAUUUAACCUCCAUCGUCAAUUUUUCUCCAUAAUUUUCUUCUUCCGCCUUCGUGCACGGUGGUCUAACCUCUGAACCCUAAUACCGAUUCUCCUUUUCCUUUUCCUUUUCCUCUUCUCAUUCUCAGAUGUCUGUAAAUUCCACGGCCUUUGCAAUCCAGUAGGAGGAGGUUCCACCGGAGCAUCCAGAGCCUGCACUUUGGAAUUAAUUUUGCAAGAGAUGGCAUGAACAGAAAAUAUUGGCCACCUCUUGUUGCUGUACAUAGUGAUUCUUAAGUUGCUCUCUGUGGCUUUCUAUUUUGGAGCACGGAUUGACCGAAACCAAAGCAAGGGGCGCUCAACAGGUGACAUAUCCAUUAGAAGUUUUGAGGUUACACAUGGCAGUUGACCCUGGGUUUCGAGCAACAUCCAAGGUUUGUUUACUUUUGCCCUACCUAUAUCUGAAAAUUGAAAAACCAAUCAUCAAUUGUACUUUAGUAUGGACAAUUAUUGGUUUCUAGAUUGCCUCAAGUAUGCUACGAGAGGAAGGCAUUACAUCUUUUACUACAGUGGUCUUGGACCGUCUCUUUUCUGCAGAGCUCCUUACAUUGCCUGUUGUGAACCUUUGCAUUUUUCACUUAUAGGCACUCAUUGUUUCUUUCUUGUGUUGGUAUUCAAUAAAAAUAAAUACCAUGUUCCUUAACUAUAAUUUUUGAGUAUACAAGGGUGUCUAAAACAGUCAAAGCCUUGCUUUCGGCUUCCCUAGCUAGCCUCAGUGAUGUUCUAUCCUUUGGACACUGAGAAUGAACGGUGCACCUUACAGGACAGUGUUUGAUUCUUUUGCAGGUAAUUUGUAUUAGUUGUUAUGUCUGAAGUGAUUUUAUAUUAUUAUAGUUGUAUUAGAUGUUCUAUCCUUUGGACGCAGAGAAAAGGCAGAUGCAAAUGAAGGAUAAUUUUGCAGGUAAUUUGUAUUAGUUCUUAUGUCUUGAAGUGAUUUUAUAUUAUUAUAGUUGGUUAUUAGUUGUUAUAAGUAAUUCUAAAGUGUGGCAAUGAUUAUUUAAGUGAAAUUUGGGAAGGUUUGGAGACUAAAAGGCUCUGACAUACAUGAUUUAUGUUCUUUGUCCUUACAUUUCAUGUCUUUCACAUUUUGAACUGCAUUCGUGGUUUUCGUAUAACUAUAACAGAGGCUACAGAGGCUUCUGUACUUUUUACUGCGAAACUACUUUUAAUUAUCUAUUUGCAAUAUGUUGGAUGUUGUUUUAGAAACUUACUUACAAGAGAGUAUAAAUGAUGAAAUAAACGGAUUUAUUUUGUUACAAUGCGAUGAUAAAAUCUAGUUGAGGAAUUUGACGUCUCUUCCUUUAUGUAAAAUCCUAACAAUAAAAAAUCAAGCAAAAGGAGGAGAAAAAGUUUGGAGAUUGGAAUCAUUUCCUAAAUUUGACUUGAUUUUUGACGCAGGUAUAUGGGGGCUGGUGCUGGAUAUAUUGUUUUUUUAGUGAUUUUUCACUUUUGUAUCCAUUCAUCUUUUUUCUAUUAUGGGAUCUGUCUUACAGCUCAUAUUUUUCUUACAUGAUAAAUGUUAUACAAUGAGAAAAAUCGAUUGUCCGGAAAUCAAUUUUUCUUAUUACACCUCAGGUUGAUGCCCCAAAUUUGGUAAUCAUAUUUGGUUUUUGUUCUUCUAA